GGGGCUGUAACUCAAUGGUAGAGUGCCUGCCUCGCAAGUGUGAAGCACUGGGUUCGAUCCUCAGCACCA
rnacentral:tRNA from 1 species